rnacentral:rRNA from 1 species
AUUGAACGCUGGCGGCAGGCUUAACACAUGCAAGUCGAGCGGGGUGAUGGUGCUUGCACUAUCACUUAGCGGCGGACGGGUGAGUAAUGCUUAGGAAUCUGCCUAUUAGUGGGGGACAACAUCUCGACAGGGAUGCUAAUACCGCAUACGUCCUACGGGAGAAAGCAGGGGAUCACUUGUGACCUUGCGCUAAUAGAUGAGCCUAAGUCGGAUUAGCUAGUUGGUGGGGUAAAGGCCUACCAAGGCGACGAUCUGUAGCGGGUCUGAGAGGAUGAUCCGCCACACUGGGACUGAGACACGGCCCAGACUCCUACGGGAGGCAGCAGUGGGGAAUAUUGGACAAUGGGGGGAACCCUGAUCCAGCCAUGCCGCGUGUGUGAAGAAGGCCUUAUGGUUGUAAAGCACUUUAAGCGAGGAGGAGGCUCUUUUGGUUAAUACCCAAGAUGAGUGGACGUUACUCGCAGAAUAAGCACCAGCUAACUCUGUGCCAGCCGCCGCUGUAA